GUUCGCUUCGGCAGCACAUAGACUAAAAUUGGAAUGAUAUAGAGUAGAUUAGCAGGGUCCCUGAACAAGGAUGAUGUGCAAAUUUGUGAAGCAUUUCAUAUUUUU